UGGUGGAGCGGGUGGGGUGUGGUCGGGGUGGGGAAGGGUGUGGAGGGGAGGGGAGGGCGAAGAACAAGAAUCAAGGCUCAGCUUGACUCCCUCCUGGCGCGCUCCGGACCCCGACCCUAGGAGGAAAGUCCGAAGACGCUGGAUCCGUGAGCGCCACCAGAAGGGCCCUGUCUGGGGUCCCGGCGCCGGUUCUGCGCCCUGCGGCUCCUCUCGCCACCUCCCACACACUUCGUCCCUCACUUUCCUAAAACCAACCACCUCAGCUCGGCUGUUGGCAGCAACAGCAGUGGCAGCAGCGACGGCAAAGUGGCGGCUGAGGCCGAGGCACCUCGUGGGCUCGUGUCCAUGCCGGGCCAGAUGAAGGGAAAGGCCGGGAAGUGGGGAGCCGGGGGUGCCCUGAAAGCUCAGAGGCGACCGACGGCGAAGGUUCCAGGUCAACUUGUGCCCGAAGCUUUGCUUUUCGCAGUUGGCCCAGUUUGGGGGAGGGGGUAGGAACAGGGGCCCGACCAGCGUGCGGGGUGUGCGAAUCUUAGCUCUCCAAAAGCUGGGACCCCCUUCGAUUAUCCAUGCUGCCCCGAGAAACUCCUAGGCUAAUAGUCUGAGGGAGGAGAUAAAGCCCUUUCUUCUCCCGGGAAAGUGCAGCGGAGCGCGGUGAGGACCCGCUCAGUGGAAUCGGCAGAGGCGGGAGCUGUCCUUAUCAAUUCGAGCUCAUUUCCCUCAACCUGGCCCUGCCCGCUUCCCCGCUUCGCAAACUGUUGGCUUCCCCGUCACCACUCAGUUUGGCUAAUUUUCCAGAGAUGGCUUUAAACCUGGCAGGAGAAUCCUUCCACCACCGCCACCCCCACCCGGUGGCCCCCUCUCCCCCGUCUCGCUCAUUUCAAAGCGCGGAAGUUCAGGCAUCAAUCUCCCCUUCCAGCGAGGGGCGGCACCGAGGACUCAGGGGGAGGAAGUGGGGCUGCGAGGACGCGUUUGGAGAGGGAGCCGGGAGGCCUGGAGGCCGGGAGGGAUUCGUGUGCACGGUUUCCCCUCCCGGGCACCAGGCGCAGUCGCUUUAACUCCAGUAACUAUGAGAAGUUCAAGUUAGAAGGCAGGUGUUGGGGGAGGGGUGGGGGCUGUCGAACGAGCGGGGGGGCGGGGGAGCAGUGGGGUGCGGGGUCUCUGCGCCCCACCCAGCAUCGUCGCCUGCAGCCGCAGCUCCCUUCUGACCCCCUCGGUAGAGCCCCCAGCGGCCCCCCACUCGGGCACCCCCACUUCCCCGGCCCUGGAACUACUUCUGUAAAAAGUCUGAGCCGCCCGCAUCUAGGCAGAGGAGGGCAGGGUGGGGGAGGCGAGGCGAAAUCGAUACGCCAGGUCCUUAACCUGUAAUUGCACCUUCCAGGGCUGAGCAGAAAGGGACCCUCUGCUUGCAUCCCGCCCGCGCGCCGGCCCGCCGGCCCGCCGGCCCGCCCGCCCGGGGGAGAGCCGCCGCCGCCGCCCGGCUCGGAGGGAUCCCGGCGGACCUGCCCCUUCCACUGCGGCUCACUCUGCCCUGCCUGGCGCCGGUCCUGGAUCGCCGGCUUCCUAUUUAUACCGGACUGGGCUCCUUUCGACUCACUUUACCAUCCCGUUCCAGGCUGGCGACUUCGCUGCUGAGCUGAAACUGCUAAUUUCUGUGACCAGCUUUUUUCUUAGCUGUGAUCUGGAUGAAUGAGUAGCUGUCUCACAGAGAUGACAAAAAUAAACUCUAAUCCCCCCCAAAA